rnacentral:lncRNA from 1 species
UUUGCUCACAGUGGCCCUAAAUCUUCUUUCCUAACUAUCCCAAUCGUAUAACCAUGGAGUUGUCAAAUGAGAGCAAAGUGAGUACCUGCCUUGUAGUGAAGAAUAAAGGAGCAUGCAUGGAAUUGAGGACAUUGCCCAGGGCAUGGAAGAACUCAGAAUUAUCUUUCUCAUACCUUUUUAAAUAUUCUUAUAUCAAGUUUCAGCAAACUUUUUCUUUAAAUAAGGAGGUGUAUGCGCAAGGCUGAAACGCCUCAGUAUCUAAGUACCUCCCCCUCCCCUUCAGUCUGUACUGCCACAGUGCAGACAGGGGGAUUGGAAACAGCCACGGGGAAAAGAUUGCACCUUAUUGAUUCACUGUUGUGUGUCUAGUACCUAGACUAAUUUCUAGACCAAAUUAGGUGCUCAACAACAUUUGUUGAAUGAUUAAAGGAGUUAAAGAGAAAGAAAACUUUGUCACUUGAAGUAGUUAUAAAGGUAGGCCUGGGCUCCACUAUUAUUGAAAGGAGGCAAGGAAAUG